AAAUUGAAGAGUUUGAUCAUGGCUCAGAUUGAACGCUGGCGGCAGGCCUAACACAUGCAAGUCGAACGGUAACAGGAAACAGCUUGCUGUUUCGCUGACGAGUGGCGGACGGGUGAGUAAUGUCUGGGAAACUGCCUGAUGGAGGGGGAUAACUACUGGAAACGGUAGCUAAUACCGCAUAACGUCGCAAGACCAAAGAGGGGGACCUUCGGGCCUCUUGCCAUCGGAUGUGCCCAGAUGGGAUUAGCUAGUAGGUGGGGUAACGGCUCACCUAGGCGACGAUCCCUAGCUGGUCUGAGAGGAUGACCAGCCACACUGGAACUGAGACACGGUCCAGACUCCUACGGGAGGCAGCAGUGGGGAAUAUUGCACAAUGGGCGCAAGCCUGAUGCAGCCAUGCCGCGUGUAUGAAGAAGGCCUUCGGGUUGUAAAGUACUUUCAGUGGGGAGGAAGGGAGUAAAGUUAAUACCUUUGCUCAUUGACGUUACCCGCAGAAGAAGCACCGGCUAACUCCGUGCCAGCAGCCGCGGUAAUACGGAGGGUGCAAGCGUUAAUCGGAAUUACUGGGCGUAAAGCGCACGCAGGCGGUUUGUUAAGUCAGAUGUGAAAUCCCCGGGCUCAACCUGGGAACUGCAUCUGAU
rnacentral:rRNA from 1 species